rnacentral:misc_RNA from 1 species
GUGCCCCUAACUGGGCUUUGUCCACCAGGAGCUGCGUGGUCUGGACAGGGUGGCCUCUUUUCUUUUUUGAGACAGGGUCUCACACUGUCACCCAGGCUGGAGUACAGUGGUGUGACCAUAGCUUACUGCAGCCUUGACCUCCCAGGCUCAAGCAAUCCUCCCAACAUAACCUCCUGAGUAGCUGGGUCUACAGCCAGUUCCGUCUUCUCCACUUGAUUGCGUGUUUGCAGUGAUUUCCUGAGUUAUCGGGAUGAAUGGUCAGAAAGCAGUGUGCCCACCAAUGGAUGUUUCCUGCCAUUGGGCCCCUUAGCAGUGACUUGGGUGCAAACCAGGGUGAUUUUUACAACUUUUAAACAAGUUUAAAGCAGCUUUGUUGGCUUUCUUAGCUGUUUGCUUUGAAAAUAUUAAAUUCAUUUUCAGCAAGUGAGUCAUUCAACA